CUUUGGAUGAAUGAUCAGGGCCCGGAUGCAUCAAUGGCGUAAGCAGUUGUCCUGAUGUGUUCAUUAUGUACAAGUGUCGGCUGUUGUUCGAAGAUCCAGACCAUCGAGCCAACGGCCUCAUUUUUAGACGGUGACUCCUGGACUGGAGGUCCUUCCCUCAUCAUCGAAUCUUUGGUCUUUUUCUAGACAUUUGCUGUAUUUCAUUCUUCAUGGCUGUCUAUUUUGUUGGCUAUUUAUGAAAGGAUAAGGGAGCCAUCAGAUCAAGUCUGGAUCCCUGAACUAAACUUGUAUGGGAUGGGCAUAUCAGGAUGCUAUUCAUGAUGCAUCAGAAUCCAAUAAUUCAUCUAUGGCCUGUUUGGAUGCACAACUGAAUUGAAUCGUGAAGGUUCUUUUUUGUCAAGAAAGAUGACAAGAAUUACUGUUCCCCAGCAUUCAUACACAGGCAAUGGCCCUCAAAUUGCACUCACAUUCCUUCAUCAAAAGUAGCUGAACAAUGGUUUGCUUGUUUCCCUUUAAUAGACUCAUACCCAUCUCUUGCACUUUAAUUUCGAAAAGAGUUUGUUUCAGUCCACAUUAGCAAUCUCAAGUGAGGAUGGUUGGAAGUAGUGGAUGAUGUGAUGCAAGCAGAAACUCCUGUUUCUGAAUGGAAUCACCCUCCAGAAGGCUCUCUUCAUCUAAAUUUUGAUGGUAGCCGGGCCAGUAAUCUGGGUCAGGUGGGAGUUGUGGGGAUCAUUUGUGAUUCCUCUAGAGUUUUUGGGGUUCUGUCAAGACUCAGGACCUGCGGGGUCUUCUGAUUUUAAUGAAACUGAAAAUGAGCUUCUCUGAACAGGUGAAAGAGUUCAUUUGCAACUUUUAUGGGCCUCCUGUAAUGGAAGGUGAUUCUCCAAUGCUUCAAGGUGGAUGAGCUCUUUUUCCAAUUAUCCAUGGCGGCAGGUGGAAGAGGUGGUCAGGAGGCAUUCCCAGUACAGUUUAUCAUGCUCAUAUCCUAUCUCCUAAGUGAAGCUUAUUGAAGGCAAUACCUUGUUGAGUGGAGAAGAAGCAGAUGGCUUCUGCUCUGCUCCUCAGACGCUUCUACUGCUGCAGCAGCAGCACCAAUGGAGCUUCUGCUCUUGACCCAACAAGGAAGAAGAAGCAACUCGUUUUCAUGGCUCUCCUCAGGCAUUUCAUUCAUCUCCUCUCUCUCGCUCCUUCAUCAAUUCAUUGACCAUUUCUCUGUAUAUAUCCUUCCAUUUUUAUUUUUUAUUUUUUUUGCAGGUCUCAGCAUCAGUUCUAGACAUUCUAAUGAAUGCUUCUACAGAGCCUAAUCCCAUGUUUCAGAUCGUUUGUCAGCUGGGCCCCACUUUGGAAGGACCGUUGCCUGAAAAAUUCUCCUGGAUAGGGCCAUCAUAAGCUCUCAAUAAUUUGGUUUGCAAAGUGACAGUUUAGAAGUGAAAUGUGGCAAUGGUCCACAUUCGGCUUUCAAUCUGGGAGGGUUGGGAAGUGUGGUCCAUCCACAGCAGGUCACAUACCCAAGAAUAUAUGAAGCAUGCUUGAGUCUUCAAGUUAAGCUUCCUUUAUUUCAGGGGACUUCACUUCUUUAAAUCUUACUGCGUCGAUGCUUGUCCAUAUAAAAUUUACUGCUAAAAGAAAAGAAUGGCUGAUUGAGAAGCUGAGGAAGUUUGAGGUCCCCAAAGCUCCAAAAUAUAUUUUCCUAUCAUUUGUCUAAUGGGACAUUCACCAAUACACUCCGCCAGCACUCUUAUGUAACCUGUCUUGCUGCAGCAGAAAAAAAAUGUUACCACACGCAUCCUAACAAUCCAAUUAUUUGCUCGUCGAGAAGCUGAUAGUAAGAGGCAUAACAUUGUUGUCAUCCAGGUAAAUUCUCUCUCUCGGUUUUCCUAUACACUUCAGUGACAUCUACCUGUUUGGGUGAAUUUUUGGACUCCUGUUUUAUUUAUUUACACUAGUAGGUCAUUUCUGAAAAUAAGGGGUAGUUGUUCAUACAGAAAUCGUUUGUUCAUACAGAUUUCUUGUGUCUCAGUUGUGAAACUCUAGAGGUGGUGGAAGAGAGUUUUGGUUCUAACGUCUAGAACAAAAUCAGCAGUCAUUAUUCAGACUGUUUAUAUUCAAAAUCAGUCAAAUUAGACUGUUUAUUUUUCACCAACCUGUUCAUAAAGUCAAAUAAACCUAGAUGGAGGGAAAACAUUAAAAUCAGCUUGAUCUAAAACUUCUGUGGCCCACAAAGCCACGCCUAUCCUUGGAAACUUCUUGAGGGCCAUAACAGUUUUGGAUCAAGCUGAUGUUUGUGUUUUCCCUUCAUCUAGGUCUGUGUGACCUUAUGAAGAGGUUGGUGGAAAAUAAACAUCAUGGUAGGCCCCACAUAGAUCUGCCUGUUCCUGGGUAGAGAUGGCAGAGGUAGGACGCAAUCCGCUUCAGAAAAGAAGGGGCAUAGCUUGGCUGGUGACCUCAACACCAGCAAGCUGUUUCUGGUGUCAAAGCUCUAUGGGCCCCACUAUGAUGCAUGUGUCCAUUUUGUUAUUUCAUUUUAGGGGAUGAGCCCAAAAGUAAGGCAGAUCCAAAGCUCAAGUGGUCCAUACCAUAGGAAAUGAUGGGGAUUAAAUGCCGAAACUUCCCGAGGCCAGAAAAUUUUUAGAUCAAGCUGAUAUUUUUUAUUUCCCUCCAUUUGGUUAUGUUUAGUUCUUCUAUUCUUCUGUUAAAUUAUGAAAAAACAUAAUGGAGAUCAUAGAUCCGAGACUUCUCUUAGAAGAUGCUGAAGCUACUCAAGACGGUGAAAAUCAUAACAAUUUGAGAAAUAGGAUGCAUGAUUGUUUGGUUUCAUUGGUCAGAGUUGGUAUAUCGUGUUCUGCAGAAGUGCCAAGGGAACGAAUGGAGAUGAGAGACAUUGCCACAGAAAUGCAUGCUAUAUGAGACUUAUAUCUCGAGGUCGGGAUUCAGCGACAAAGACAAAAUACGCCUUAUUGUUAGGUGAAGGUUCAUCUUACCUUAGUAACUACUAAGAUUAGAUUAGUAGUUACAAUGAAGAAGAUUCCGAUAUAAAAUAAAACUGCUUAAUAUUUUUCUAAGCAGCAUUAGAUAUAUAUUGUUCUAGUAUUGAAUCUAUGGUGAAGAUGUUUUUUUUUUUUUUGGUAUCUUGUUUAAGACAGGAAGAUUGUAUUAUAAAUAUCACGGGAAGAAAUACUUCUCAAAAUAAAGAGAAUAAUGGGUACCCCGUCUUAUUAAGUUACGGUUAGAAUGUGAAUGUGAAUCGUUGCUGUUAUUGUCCAGAGGGAAUAAAAGGACCAAAGUGCUACAUACAAUGGGCAUAUGACCACCGACCACUGAUUAGAUAAAUAUGAUUGUUCAAUGGAGGUUUGGUCCAUAGCCCAUCCAUUGAGGUGCCAAAAGGAUGGAGGAUUGUCAAGGUGGGCAUUAUCUAAUUGUGAUUGAAUGCCCACCAUUAAAAACUUCAUGCAGCCCACUCAAUGUUUAUUUGCCAUCAAACCGGUUGAUAAAGUCACAUAGACCUGCAUCAAGGAAUCAAAAACAAAGAUAUCAGCUUGAUACAAAACUUUUAUCGUCAUCAGGAAUUUUCUAAUGGUGGUCGUUCAAUCACCCCUGUUUCCUGUGGUGUGGUCCACCGGAGAUUCAGAUCUGCUUUAUUUUUGGGCCCAUUCCAUAAAAUCAGUUGGAAAAAUGGAUGGACCGUCUAUAACACUAGCUAGUCUAUCUGAGGUUUUGGCCUUUGCAGUUGGAAGUUUCAUUCCAAUGCCUAUGUGCCCUGUAUUCUCCAUGUUUGCAGGUAAGAACAUUUUUCUAUUGAUAAUAUUCAUUUUUCACUUUGUUUCAAGGUACACUGAUCUAUCUGAUUUAUUGCAGCAUUGGCAGUUUUCUCACACGGACCUCCUUGUUACAGAUGAUCAAUCCAUCUAAUGCUUCUAAGCAUACAUGAUUUAGAAAAGUAUAGCAAUGGCUCACAUGCUCUACUUGUCGGCGGUUUCUUCUAGUUAAUCACUAUCUUUGGAGUGUUCAAAUUUGAGAAACGAUCUAUUUAGCUAAGUGUAUAGAAACCAACACAUGACCAUCAGAAUGGGAGAUUACUGUGGCAUGACUUGAAGAAGGGCGAUUUCUAUCAUCUAAUGGCAACUCCAAAGUCCUUGCACUUAUCAUCUUAGUCUUGCCAUCCAACAAUAUUUGAUCACAGAAAGAUCUAAUCCAGCUGUGUAGAUAUGAAUUAGUCUUCUUCUUUUUUUUCUUUUUUUCUUUUCCUCAUUUUAAAGGGUGUUUUAUGUUUUUAAGCAUUUAUUUGUUUUAUGAAGAUAUGAUGUGGGUUUUCUUUUCCUUUUUAACUCUUUUUUCUUUUCUUGUUUUGUUGGUGGCUGUG